rfam:Triticum aestivum genome assembly, contig: Triticum_aestivum_CS42_TGACv1_scaffold_406273_5BL
AUGGUACUCCCUUCGUCCGGAAAUAUUUGUCAUCAAAAUAAAUAAAAAGAAAUGUAUCUAGAUGUAUAUAUUACUCCCUCCGUUUCAAAAUAGAUGACCCAACUUUAUACUAAAGUUAGUAUGAAGGUGAGUCAUCUAUUUUGGAACGGAGGGUUCUAAAUACAUCUCUUUUUAUCCAUUUUGAGGACAAGUAUUUUCGGACGGAGGGAGUACUAG